AUGUAUGUUACUAUGCUUUUAUUAGAAUACAAACAUGGUUAAUUUUGUUUCUAGUUGUUAACUAAUGAAUUUGAGAUUUCACAUCCACAGAAGAAGGCUUGGUUCUACUUCUGUGUAGAAGAAUAAGGUUUAUAUCUGUAAUCUUUUUAUGUUAGCAGCCCUGUAUCCUGAAAUUAAUUUCAGCACGUGUCCUUGCAUUUUUAAGGCACUUUUGACAGAUUAAGGGGUCUGUUCAGGUUCGGAGCUGCCGGGGGUCACGAGGGUCUGCCGGGGGUCAUGAGGAGCUGCUGGAGGACAGGGGAGUAACCGCUGAACUCUGACCUUGUUCUGGACUCGGUGCUGCUGUGAUGCUCUGAGCUCUUGGACCGCUCUGAUUCUAAGCUCGGACCCGUUCUCUGGGAACUGCUUUGACGGACGCUUGUGUAAACAGAACGAUCAUGCAGUGUGUGUGUAAGGUGUGUGUGUGUACAAUAAAAGGAUCAAACUGA